rnacentral:rRNA from 1 species
GAUGAACGCUAGCGGCAGGCUUAACACAUGCAAGUCGAACGGGAAUCUGAUGAUUGAGACUUCGGUUGAUUGAAUCAGAGGAUAGUGGCGGACGGGUGAGUAACGCGUGAGCAACCUGCCUUAGUGGAGGGGGAUAACACAGGGAAACUUGUGCUAAUACCGCAUGAUGCAUAUUGAUUGCAUGGUCGAUAUGGUUAAAGGGUUACCGCAAUUAAGAUGGGCUCGCGUCUGAUUAGAUAGUUGGUGAGGUAACGGCUCACCAAGUCGACGAUCAGUAGCCGGACUGAGAGGUUGAACGGCCACAUUGGAACUGAGAAACGGUCCAGACUCCUACGGGAGCAGCAGUGGGGAAUA